UUUUUUUUUUUUUUUUCUUCUGAACUUUCAGGGAGAAAUUGCUGGGGCUCAGCGAUUACACAAAUCAAAGGUUCUUAAGAAGCUACUCAAAGAACAAGACGCAGCUGGAAGAAUAUAUGGAGCGGUUUGCUCUUCCCCUGCAGUUCUACAUAAUCAGGGUUUAUUGAAGGAUAAGAAAGCCACUGCACAUCCUUCUGUUGAGAAUCAGCUAAGUAACAAUGUAAUAAAUGACGCCAAAGUAGUUAUUGAUGGUAAAGUGAUCACUAGCAAGGGGCAUGCUACAGUAACAGAUUUUGCAAUGGCUAUAGUGAGCAAGCUUUUUGGCCAUGCAAGGGCGAGGAGUGUAGCUGAGGGCCUUGUUUUUGACUAUCCUAGGACUUAGAUGUGUUGAAUAAGAGUGGAAGUGAGGAAGUCAAUGAAGAUGCCCCGAUCCAUGAAGGAGAGCCACUUAUCCCAGAGUCUCAGACUCUAAU